rnacentral:rRNA from 1 species
GGAUUAGAUACCCUGGUAGUCCACGCCGUAAACGAUGUCAACUAGCUGUCUGUGGACUUGAUCUGUGGGUAGCGCAGCUAACGCACUAAGUUGACCGCCUGGGGAGUACGGCCGCAAGGUUAAAACUCAAAUGAAUUGACGGGGGCCCGCACAAGCGGUGGAGCAUGUGGUUUAAUUCGAUGCAACGCGAAGAACCUUACCAUCCCUUGACAUCCAGAGAACUUUCUAGAGAUAGAUUGGUGCCUUCGGGAACUCUGAGACAGGUGCUGCAUGGCUGUCGUCAGCUCGUGCUG